GAUAUUUGGCAUGCAUGUGUAUCUCAUGGAGCUGCACAUUUUGAGUGGUGAAAGGUCAAAGUCAAGGUCAUCCUUCAAGGUCAGAGGUAAAACAUAUUUGUCCCAAAUCGCUUAUUUUAUUAAUACUUUUGAAAUAUUGAAGAUAGCAACUUGAUAUUUGGCAUGCAUGUGUAUCUCAUGGAGCUGCACAAUUUGAGUGGUGAAAGGUCAAGGUCAUCCUUCAAGGUCAAGGUCAUCCUUAAAGGUCAAAUAUAUGGGUCAAAAUUGCUCAUGUAAUGUCACUUCUGCAAUAUUGAAGCUAGCAAUUUUAUAUUUGAAAUGCAUGUGUAUCUCAUGGAGCUGCACAUUUUGAGUGGUGAAGGGUCAAGGUCAUCCUUCAAGGUCAAACAUUAUUUAGGGGGACAUUGUGUUUCACAAACGCAUCUUGUUUCAAAUUAUCUUUAUUCAACAACAUUUUGUAUAACGAUAAAACAACUCACUCUUAGAGAUACGUCUAGUAGUGAUGCACUGCUUUCAACCAACAAACCAUCUGCCUCGUUCUCGAAACUCAAGUCUGGUGAACGGUUAUCUGACAUUUCCUCAGUUUCUGGUGUGGAAUUCGUCUCAUCUGCUUCAGGGCCAUUUUCCAGAGUCUGUAAGGUAAACAAAUAAAAUUAAAUCAGCACAUCAAAGACCUAGAAAUACACAUACUUUUUCAAACUAACAUGAAAGAAUGAUGUUCAGAUACGUAAUAUUUAUGCUUCUGUAUCAUGUUGUAAACACCGUCAGAUUCUAUACCGAUAGAGUAACUGACCCAUGUUCAUUCUUGAAACCUCGUAUAGCCUAGUGGCAACAUAUCCGCUUCAAAAUAUCAGAUACCAUUGGUUCGAUCCUCGGCUGUGAGCUACAUAAAAUAAAUCAUGAACUGUGCCAUGGGUAUGUCUGCCAUUAUCCCAUGCUUGAUUGUACCACAAGGAAUCACUGAUUUGAAUAGUAAGCUCGAUUUAAUAAUCCAUCGGAAUCGUUUUAAGGUGAUAAUCUGAUUACACGCAGUGCGCAAUCUGAUUAUGUGAUGACUUAAAUUAGUAUAAGUAUUAA